AUUGAACGCUGGCGGCAGGCCUAACACAUGCAAGUCGAAUGGUAACAGGAAACAGCUUGCUGUUUCGCUGACGAGUGGCGGACGGGUGAGUAAUGUCUGGGAAACUGCCUGAUGGAGGGGGAUAACUACUGGAGACGGUAGCUAAUACCGCAUAACGUCGCAAGACCAAAGAGGGGGACCUUCGGGCCUCUUGCCAUCAGAUGUGCCCAGAUGGGAUUAGCUAGUAGGUGGGGUAACGGCUCACCUAGGCGACGAUCCCUAGCUGGUCUGAGAGGAUGACCAGCCACACUGGAACUGAGACACGGUCCAGACUCCUACGGGAGGCAGCAGUGGGGAAUAUUGCACAAUGGGCGCAAGCCUGAUGCAGCCAUGCCGCGUGUAUGAAGAAGGCCUUCGGGUUGUAAAGUACUUUCAGCGGGGAGGAAGGGAGUAAAGUUAAUACCUUUGCUCAUUGACGUUACCCGCAGAAGAAGCACCGGCUAACUCCGUG
rnacentral:rRNA from 1 species